AAAGUCCCGGUCGGGCGAGGGCUAACCACCCACGCGUAUCGAGUGUUGCACCGACGGCGGAGCCAGAGGUGUCAGGCUGGCGAACAAAGGAGGUGAAGCGUACGAAUCCUGUAGGCCGUAGGGGCAACCGCGUGCCCUGAGAGCUGGUACAGCUUCGAAAUGCGUAUUGCGGAGGGCGAGGGUUUUAACGUCCCCGAAGCCAACAUAAAACAUCCGUCAGGGUGAGGGUGUGGAUGUCCGCCGGAGUCCUCAGGCU
rfam:Betaproteobacteria bacterium RIFCSPLOWO2_12_FTLL_63_13 rifcsplowo2_12_scaffold_3997, whole genome shotgun sequence.